rnacentral:rRNA from 1 species
CAGUCGCCGCGGUAAUACGAAGGGGGCUAGCGUUGUUCGGAAUUACUGGGCGUAAAGGGCGCGUAGGCGGCCAUUCAAGUUAGAUGUGAAAGCCCUGGGCUCAACCUAGGAAUUGCAUUUGAUACUGUUUGGCUUGAGUUCGGGAGAGGUGAGUGGAAUUCCCAGUGUAGAGGUGAAAUUCGUAGAUAUUGGGAAGAACACCGGUGGCGAAGGCGGCGACCUGGUCCUUGACUGACGCUGAGGCGCGAAAGCGUGGGGAGCAAACAGGAUUAGAUACCCCGGUAGUCCCUGUCUCUUAUAC